AGUUAUUAACCCAGCGUUUCUGAUUAGACUUCCUUGUCGCUUCGGAUCGUUUCUUUAAGCAGCUUCUUUGGGAUUUUUUCUCUCGGAGGAGAAGAAAGUUUCCUUCGCUCUUUAGUGAUCAAGAAAAAAGGUGCUGUCCGUGGUCCUGACCUCAGUUUUCUCACUCAGGACUUUGGUUUGGAGACUAUUAGGAAUAACUAGAGCUACUUCAGAAGUUGUUCCCUCAGCAGCUCCUCGUAGGGCUGAAUAUGGUAACUCUGCGCAGAGUUCAUCCGCACACAUUGCUUCUUUUAUUGUUUGUUGUCCACCUGAGUAGGCCAGUAUGUGUUGACGUGCCAUCGGAUACAGAAGCAGUGCUGGGAAACUCCAUGAAGCUGACAUGCAUCUCCUGCCUGAAGAGGGAAGAGGUUAAAGUAGACACACAUGUUAUUUGGUACUUCACGCCAACAGAAACCCAAAACAAGACAAAAAUUUUCAAAGUUGAGAACGAUGUCAAGGAACCUAUUGAUGGGCAUUUUGAUGGCCGUCUUACCUGGAACGGUAGCAAAGACCUGCAAGAUUUGUCCCUUUGGAUUUUAAAUGUCUCAGAGAGGGACCACGGUUUCUAUGAGUGCGAAGUUAUUAGAACAUUUGAUUUUGGAGCCUUCAAGCCUAAAGCUAGAAGGAAUAUAAACUUCACUCUGACUGUGAAAGAAAAAGCCUCUAAUGACCCUGCUGCAAUCUACUCUGAGAUCAUGAUGUAUGUCCUGCUGGUGUUCUUGACCUUAUGGCUGCUGGUGGAAAUGGUCUACUGCUAUAAGAAAAUCUCCAAGUCUGACGACCAAGCACAGGAUGCACUGACAAACUACCUAGCCGUUCCUUCUGAGCAGAAAGACAAUCCGGUUGCUCCUGCUACCAAAUAAAUGACACGUUCAGUACCUGAUCUUUAUGAGAUGGAUGAUUUUCUGCAUAGCUCAGAGAAGGUAUUGACCACUCAGGAUAAUGGCACAGACUGCCCAAUCCAUUCGGUGCCACCAUGAGGACAAGUUUCUCUGACAGCCAUGUGACUCCCCCCAGCUGACCUCCCCUGUAUAUCCACUGUGUCUUAAAACAAAAAGUGCUAUAUUUUCCUUUCUUUUCCUUUCCUCUACGAAGCUCUGGGCCUCUGACAUCAAGUGCUUUUACUAAUACAGUAGCUUAAAGAGCAAGAAUGUCCCAUUCCCUAUUAUCUGAUGAAUAUAGCCAUGUUGUACAUUAUACAGAUCUGCUGAUGUGUAGAUGUUAUACCUGUUUCCUAACAGCUAGUGUUUGUGACUUUUGUACCUCGACAUAAAGUGCAUAAUCUAAUGAGAAAAUUGGCUGUUUGAAAAGCACCUAUACUGACUCUUUAGUACUUUACUAGUUUUUUUUUUUGUUUUUUUGUUUUUUUUUUUGUUUAUACCUUUUUAUAGACCUUGUGAUUUUUCAGGUCAUGGUUUUGUUUGUAGUCACCAAAAGUAUUUUUCUAUUGAUUGAACUGAAAAGCUUUUCUACCAUUCGUGGGUGCGUUUUCUUUGCUAAAUUUUUAUUAGGCCUUAAGGCGUAAUGGAAACAUACAUAAAAGAUCUAGCUAGAAAAAUACUAUUUCUUUUGGCUAAAUUAAUUAGAUAUUUCCUUUAUUUGCAGAUGUAUACAUUUUUAAUCCAUGUUCAGCUCUGAUGUCAAAGUGCAGAACACUCAGUAAGUUUUACUGCACUUAGUGCUUGUAAAUGUAUUCUCGGAGCUUUGACUGUUGCUAAGCUUUAGUACUGAGAAUCGAUGUGUGCCUCGUUCGAUGAUACAGAACUGUAGAUUUUUUUUUCUUACCUGAUUCAGAAAUGUCAAGUCAUUCUUGGUCUGUUACAGAUAUAAUAAUUCAUCUGUGGUAAGCAAUUUUUCGCUCUUUAUUAAAUACACAUUCCACUACAUGAUUUGUUGGUUUUCUAUUAUUUUUGAAAAAUGUCCACAGAUAUAUUGGUGCUACUGCCUAAAGGUCAAUUAAAAAAAUAAUAGUAUUGCAUAUGAUAACGAAAAUUAUACUAAAUAUGAUAUUGGUCAAACAAUCAUUGGAAAGGCUGCUGACAGCUACCCAUGGGC